GCCGCCGUAGCUCAGUUGGGAGAGCGCGUGACUGAAGAUCACGAGGUCGCUGGUUCGAACCCGGCUGGCGGCACCA
rnacentral:tRNA from 4 species